rnacentral:rRNA from 1 species
AGUGAACGCUGGCGGUAGGCCUAACACAUGCAAGUCGAACGGCAGCACAGUAAGAGCUUGCUCUUACGGGUGGCGAGUGGCGGACGGGUGAGGAAUACAUCGGAAUCUACUUUUUCGUGGGUGAUAACGUAGGGAAACUUACGCUAAUACCGCAUACGACCUACGGGUGAAAGCAGGGGAUCUUCGGACCUUUCGCGAUUGAAUGAGCCGAUGUCGGAUUAGCUAGUUGGCGGGGUAAAGGCCCACCAAGGCGACGAUCCGUAGCUGGUCUGAGAGGAUGAUCAGCCACACUGGAACUGAGACACGGUCCAGACUCCUACGGGAGGCAGCAGUGGGGAAUAUUGGACAAAGGGCGCAAGCCUGAUCCAGCCAUACCGCGUGGGUGAAGAAGGCCUUCGGGUUGUAAAGCCCUUUUGUUGGGAAAGAAAAGCAGCAGGUUAAUACCCCGCUGUUCUGACGGUACCCAAAGAAUAAGCACCGGCUAACUUCGUG